UCAGGACGAACGGCUGGCGGCGUGCCUAAUACAUGCAAGUCGAGCGAAUGACAAGGAGCUUGCUCCUUGAUUAGCGGCGGACGGGUGAGUAACACGUGGGUAACCUACCCUAUAGACUGGGAUAACUUCGGGAAACCGGAGCUAAUACCGGAUAAUACUUCGAAACACAUGUUUUGAAGUUGAAAGAUGGUUUCGGCUAUCACUAUAGGAUGGACCCGCGGCGCAUUAGCUAGUUGGUGGGGUAAUGGCUCACCAAGGCAACGAUGCGUAGCCGACCUGAGAGGGUGAUCGGCCACACUGGGACUGAGACACGGCCCAGACUCCUACGGGAGGCAGCAGUAGGGAAUCUUCCACAAUGGACGAAAGUCUGAUGGAGCAACGCCGCGUGAGUGAAGAAGGAUUUCGGUUCGUAAAACUCUGUUGCAAGGGAAGAACAAGUAGCGUAGUAACUGGCGCUACCUUGACGGUACCUUGUUAGAAAGCCACGGCUAACUACGUGCCAGCAGCCGC
rnacentral:rRNA from 1 species